rnacentral:rRNA from 1 species
UGGGGAAUAUUGCACAAUGGGCGCAAGCCUGAUGCAGCCAUGCCGCGUGUAUGAAGAAGGCCUUCGGGUUGUAAAGUACUUUCAGCGGGGAGGAAGGCGAUAAGGUUAAUAACCUUGUCGAUUGACGUUACCCGCAGAAGAAGCACCGGCUAACUCCGUGCCAGCAGCCGCGGUAAUACGGAGGGUGCAAGCGUUAAUCGGAAUUACUGGGCGUAAAGCGCACGCAGGCGGUCUGUCAAGUCGGAUGUGAAAUCCCCGGGCUCAACCGGGGAACUGCAUUCGAAACUGGCAGGCUAGAGUCUUGUAGAGGGGGGUAGAAUUCCAGGUGUAGCGGUGAAAUGCGUAGAGAUCUGGAGGAAUACCGGUGGCGAAGGCGGCCCCCUGGACAAAGACUGACGCUCAGGUGCGAAAGCGUGGGGAGCAAACA